rnacentral:rRNA from 1 species
AACAAACGCUGGCGGCGUGCCUAAUACAUGCAAGUCGAACGGGGAAAGCUUUCGGGUGAGUACUAGUGGCGCACGGGUGAGGAACGCGUGGAUAAUCUGCCUUAGAGUGGGGGAUAACUAGUCGAAAGAUUAGCUAAUACCGCAUAAGACCACGAGAGCUGCGGCUUUUGAGGUCAAAGGUUUUUCGCUCUAAGAUGAGUCCGCGUAAGAUUAGCUAGUUGGUGAGGUAACGGCUCACCAAGGGGACGAUCUUUAACUGGUCUGAGAGGAUGAUCAGUCACACUGGGACUGAGACACGAUCCAGACUCCUACGGGAGGCAGCAGUAGGGAAUAUUGCACACUGGAGGAAACUCUGAUGCAGCGACGCCGCGUGAGUGAUGAAGGCCUUCGGGUCGUAAAGCUCUGUCGCAGGGGAAUAACACAAUGGAGGUACCCUGUAAGAAAGGAUCGGCUAACUUCGUG